UGGGGAAUAUUGCACAAUGGGCGCAAGCCUGAUGCAGCCAUGCCGCGUGUAUGAAGAAGGCCUUCGGGUUGUAAAGUACUUUCAGUCGGGAGGAAGGUGGUAAGGUUAAUAACCUUAUCAAUUGACGUUACCGACAGAAGAAGCACCGGCUAACUCCGUGCCAGCAGCCGCGGUAAUACGGAGGGUGCAAGCGUUAAUCGGAAUUACUGGGCGUAAAGCGCACGCAGGCGGUUGAUUGAGUCAGAUGUGAAAUCCCCGGGCUUAACCCGUGAAUUGCAUCUGAUACUGGUCAGCUAGAGUCUUGUAGAGGAGGGUAGAAUUCCAUGUGUAGCGGUGAAAUGCGUAAGGAUGUGGAGGAAUACCGGUGGCGAAGGCGGCCCCCUGGACAAAGACUGACGCUCAGGUGCGAAAGCGUGGGGAGCAAACAGG
rnacentral:rRNA from 1 species